rnacentral:lncRNA from 1 species
CCUGUACGCAUUCGCCCUCUCUCUCUCCUCUCCCCCUCUCUCUGUACGUAUUUGCUAUGCGGAAGAAGGUAUUUGCCCUAACUCCGUACGUAAAUCUCUCUCUUCCCAAUCUUCUAUUCGUCUUCUUUAAUCUUACUUCGAACAAUUCUCACUAUUUCUUUAUCCUGACAGAGCUUUCAGAAAAAAGAUGCCAAUUCUGAAUCUGGGGUUUUUCUUUAUUAAAUUGUCUUGGUUUGACUCUUUCAUUCAUUUUCUCAGCAACCAACCAGAGUUAAGAGUUCUCAGAAAACACAUACACUAUCUCUCUCCAAUGUUUCUCUUCUUUUCUUGUUCUUUAAUUAAAAUUUCAACAAUUCUAGUGGUCAGUUUGGUUGCUCAGAAAACAGAGCUUUAAGGAAACCAUGCGGCUUUUUUAAUUCUUAGUUUUUUUAUUUCCCUUAUUUUUUUUUUUUUGGUUUUACUCUUCUUUCAUUUAUUUUCUUAGCAACCAAACCGAAUUAGGUUCAGUUUGGUUACUCAGAAAACACAGUUAAAGGAAAAGAUGCGAUUUCUUGAAUCUUGUUUUUCUUGUUUGUUUUACUCUUCUUUCAUUGAUUUUCUUAGCAACCAAACAGAGUUAUGUUCAGUUUGGUUGCUCAGAAAACACAAUUUAAGAAAAAAAUGCGAUUUCUUGAAUCUUGAUUUUUUUCUUGAGUGAUAAAGGCUGUUCUGUUUGUUUUUUUUUGGGUGAAAAUUUAGGAAAAAAAAAAAGGAAUUCAAAUUCAUGGGCACGAAUUUUGUUUUUUUUGACUCGAUAAAGCUUGUCGCAUUAGGCCAUAAUCUUCUCAAUUUUUUUUGACGCUCAUUAUUGGAUAAACCAAAAGGUAUUCCUUACAUUACAAUCUCUCAUUUCGAUGGUCCCCAACUUGGUAUGUUUCCAGAUCUCUUUUAUCUCUUUUUACUCUCUCACUCUAGGUUGCCUCACUAGACUGUUGAUUUACCAUCUGGGUUUUCUAAAAUUCAGUUGAGAAGUUGAUGGAUUAGUCUUACUUUCUGAAAUUUUCAAGCCUUUAGUUAGAUAAUAUGAUAUCAAAAUGUUGUUUCCUUCUACAGCUUACUGGCUCAUUUCUUUUAUGGGCAGGGAAUUGAUCAAGUCUACAAGAUUACUUAUCAGAUUGGACUCCCUUUCCUGAAGUGAGGAAUAUUUCUAUUUCACUAAAAGAUAUGCUGUGUUGUUCUGGUUCAGAACUUCAGAGAUAAACGAGUGUUUUUUUUUAUACAGGACAAACACCAAAUCUUGAAUUGAAGCCAUGUGACUUUGGUACUCAAUGAUUAUUUCCUUUGUUUGAUACCUGCAGCUUGUUAAACCUCUUUCUUUUAUCUAUUUUUUGGUGGUUAAGGAAGUUGCCUAUAUUAAGGACCAUGAUUACUUCUUUUUGGGGUUUUCUACAAUAAUGUUUUUGAUGAUUAAUGUUAGUUAGUUAGUUAGUUAGUAUUUUUGCCUCCUCUGUAUCUAUAUCUAUGUGUCUGCAUAUAAUUUCCAUUGGCAUGUUUAUUUAAAUUAGCAAGUUAUUGAAUUAAUGUGUCUUCAAAUCUUAUUUGCUCUCAUGAUCAGAGUGGAUUUAAAAAAUAACAUAUAUUAAACAAUAAAUACCACAAGAUAGGGAACCAAAACUAAAUCAAAAUAAGGUGGCCUUUCAAAGAGAAAUGUCGCUAUAUACCGUCAUCAUUCAAACAGUAAAGGUAAUUGAUAGUUAAUGUUCCAGGUUUUGACGACACUUUGGAAAAUGCCAACUAAAAUUGUCACUAGGCAUUUCAAAAUGCCAUCAACAUUCACUUUCUUAUGGAGCUCUGGCAUUGCAUACAUAUGGAGUCCUUUAUAAAUUUUUGUUGGCGGGAACAAUGUUAUAACUAGGAUAUUAUUCUCAGUUAAAAUGUUAUGGUCUGGUUUUCAAAAUUAAUUAUAGAUAAGGAAUAAUAGUACCUAUGUGCUUAUGAAGUAACAGGUAUAUAUUUACCUUAAUAGCCAUACAUUUUAGCUACAGCAAUAUGUUUUUUUACCCAUGUUCUUGUCAUUAUCACAAUACAAAUUGUUGUGCUGGUUUUGAUUUAUUUAUCAUCCUCAUAAUUGGUUUGUGUACUAAAAUUUAAGAAUAUUUCCUCAAUGGUGCAAGUCUUUCAUUGAUACAAAGGAUACUUUUCACCUUUCCAAACUGAAGUUGAAGCCAUGAGCAUAUUAUGACCUUUAUCUAUCAAAAGGUAAUUAUCCUCUAUUUCUAUUUGAGCUUUCUAUAAGAUAUGUUAUGCAAAAACUUAUUAAUGAGCCCAGAAAAGAAAAUUGUUCUUGUACUAGUUUACUUAUAAGAAAAUAGGAACCUGUUUCUUUGUAAUCUUCAAGUCUUUCAAAUGUUCAGUUUCUUUAGGUUUACCUUGGGGUUUUUGUGGAAAUCAUCUAGGCAUUCUGGUAGUGUUUGCGGGUCCUCGAACAUUUUGUGCUAGACCACUACAUCGUUAAUAUUUUUUUUUGGAUAAGUACUACAUUGUUGAUGACAUGCCUAUAUGAAUAAGAAGAUAGUCAGUCAAACAACUAGGGGAUAAUCAUGUCAACAAGGACAACUUCAAGUUUUUUGUCGACUGUACUAUAUACUCACACUCUCUGCUCAAAUUUUUUUAAAGUUAAAGUGCUUGUCUCCAUGUUUUCCAUGUCCCACUGUCAAACAUAUCAUAAAACUUAAGUUGUAUGUAAGCUUAGCUUCGUUGUUCUCUCAAAAUUUAUUAGAUGGAUGCUGAAACUCGAUAUCAUAAUUAUGUCCUCUUGUUGUGUAAGACACACCCUCCAUUCCAUUUUGUUUAUACAUAUCUCCGAUUUGGGAAUUGGGAUGUCUCAAAAAUAUUGUCCACUUUGAAAAGUCAAAAUAUAAAGAUUGUAAAUUACAAAAC